UGUUUGUACCACAGAAGGGCAACAAGGUUUUGUGGUACUGCUGCGGCCCCACUGUUUAUGAUGCUUCUCACAUGGGUCAUGCCAGGUCUUACAUUUCUUUUGACAUACUUCGGAGAAUACUGAAGGAUUAUUUCAAAUACGAUGUCUUCUACUGUAUGAACGUCACAGAUAUUGAUGACAAAAUCAUCAAAAGAGCCCGACAGAACUACCUGCUGGAGCAGUAUGGAGAGAAGAAGCCCAGUCCCUCUCAGAUACUGCAGGA